rnacentral:rRNA from 1 species
GACGAACGCUGGCGGCGUGCUUAACACAUGCAAGUCGAACGGAAAGGCCCUGCUUUUGUGGGGUGCUCGAGUGGCGAACGGGUGAGUAACACGUGAGUAACCUGCCCUUGACUUUGGGAUAACUUCAGGAAACUGGGGCUAAUACCGGAUAGGAGCUCCUGCUGCAUGGUGGGGGUUGGAAAGUUUCGGCGGUUGGGGAUGGACUCGCGGCUUAUCAGCUUGUUGGUGGGGUAGUGGCUUACCGAGGCUUUGACGGGUAGCCGGCCUGAGAGGGUGACCGGCCACAUUGGGACUGAGAUACGGCCCAGACUCCUACGGGAGGCAGCAGUGGGGAAUAUUGCACAAUGGGCGGAAGCCUGAUGCAGCAACGCCGCGUGCGGGAUGACGGCCUUCGGGUUGUAAACCGCUUUCGCCUGUGGCGAAGCGUGAGUGACGGUAAUGGGUAAAGAAGCACCGGCUAACUACGUG